rnacentral:piRNA from 1 species
CAGCUGUGAAUGCUCGCUAGACCUAGCCUC